CCUACGGGCGGCAGCAGUGGGGAAUAUUGGACAAUGGGCGCAAGCCUGAUCCAGCCAUGCCGCGUGAGUGACGAAGGUCUUCGGAUUGUAAAGCUCUUUUGGCGGGGACGAUAAUGACGGUACCCGCAGAAUAAGCCCCGGCUAACUUCGUGCCAGCAGCCGCGGUAAUACGAAGGGGGCUAGCGUUGUUCGGAAUCACUGGGCGUAAAGCGCACGUAGGCGGAUGUGCCAGUCAGGGGUGAAAUCCCGGAGCUCAACUCCGGAACUGCCUCUGA
rnacentral:rRNA from 1 species